AAUUGCGUUGGGAUUUAUCCCGCGUGCGUUCAAAUCGCACUCAUGUCAGGCAUGAUGGCCGAGCGGUCUAAGGCGACGCACUCAAGUU
rnacentral:tRNA from 1 species